UACGUAGGGUCCGAGCGUUGUCCGGAGUUACUGGGCGUAAAGAGCGCGCAGGCGGUCGUGCAAGUCGCGUGUGAAAGCCCCCGGCUCAACUGGGGAGGGUCACGCGAUACUGCUCGACUCGAAGGCAGGAGAGGGAAGUGGAAUUCCCGGUGUAGUGGUGAAAUGCGUAGAUAUCGGGAGGAACACCAGUGGCGAAGGCGACUUCCUGGCCUGUUCUUGACGCUGAGGCGCGAAAGCUAGGGUAGCAAACGGG
rnacentral:rRNA from 1 species